rnacentral:rRNA from 1 species
GACGAACGCUGGCGGCGUGCUUAACACAUGCAAGUCGAACGGUAAGGCCCUUCGGGGUACACGAGUGGCGAACGGGUGAGUAACACGUGGGUGAUCUGCCCUGCACUUCGGGAUAAGCCUGGGAAACUGGGUCUAAUACCGGAUAGGACCACUGCCUGCAUGGGUGGUGGUGGAAAGCUUUUGCGGUGUGGGAUGGGCCCGCGGCCUAUCAGCUUGUUGGUGGGGUGAUGGCCUACCAAGGCGACGACGGGUAGCCGGCCUGAGAGGGUGACCGGCCACACUGGGACUGAGAAGCGGCCCAGACGCUAACGGGCGGCAGCAGUGGGGAAUAUUGCACAAGGGGCGCAAGCCUGAUGCAGCGAGGCCGCGUGAGGGAUGACGGCCUUCGGGUUGUAAACCUCUUUCAGCACCGACGAAGCGCAAGUGACGGUAGGUGCAGAAGAAGGACCGGCCAACUACGUGCCAGCCGCCGCCGUAA